AGGAGAAUCCAGAACCUUCGGCCUUAGCUCUUCUUGAAUUCCACCGGCGUUCUCCAUCCAUCAUUCCUUUCCAGUCUUCAACAUCGCCGGCGUGAGUGUGCUUGAGAGCGUCAUCCGUCACUGCUGCCGUGAGGUUCUCCUCUUCCCUGCUCUGCCGUCGUUCAGUUCAACUCCUGCACGUGCGCUUGAGUUGGUUGCUAUUAGUUCUUCUUCUUUCUUUUCCGCCAGUCGGCUUGCUGUCGUCGACAGGUGCGAUAGCUCCGUCCGCUAUUGUUGUGAAAUUCUACUAUAGUGUAGCUGACAAUGUAAGUCCUGCUUUUCAAUAAGGAAUUUCUGCUGAGCUUGGUGGAGAUUGAUUCUAUAAAUAUUUCCUAUUGAUGUAAAUAUGAAUUUAUGAAUUAUAAAAAAAAAUGAACAAUUAGGGGCUCCACAUAGACUAUAGUUAGGGUCCUGAAUUCUUUUGUUAUAUUAUCUAUCUGUUGCUGCGGAGUAAAGCGUUGUACUGUUGGGUAUAAAUUGUAAAAUUUUUAUUGUAGAGA